CUUUUUCCUUUUUCUGAACCUGGGUAUUCCAAAUUUUCAGAAAAGAAAGAAAAGGAGAUAGGGGCUCACAGAAGUGCCUUUGGUCUCUCUAUUCUAGCACAGCAGGCCACGAGGCCCAGCAGAAGCUGGCCCACCUAAUCCCUAGGCCAUCUCCACCUAAGGCCCAUCAGUGCCCGAUCCCCUCUAACCUAGCGAGCCUCCAGCUCGAUCUCCCUCUUCCUCCCGCAGCGCCGCACUCGCACCCAGCGCCCGCUGCCUCCCGCUCGAUCUUGAGCGCCCCAGCACCAACGAGCACCGCCGCCUUGCGCCGCCCCUCUCGCCUCCCGCCUCCUUCAUCUCAUGCGUGCCGCCGCCACCCAUCCAUGGCCGCUGCGCAGCCACGACGCCCGAGCAUCCCUGCAGCCUCGCCUCCGGCCGCGCGGUCCCAACCGAAGCCGCCGCUGCCGUUCAGGUCGACCCGACCUCUGCCUCCGCACACGCUGGCCAUCCUCCUGCCGCUCCUGCUACCCGACUCUGCUCCGCACGCACGGCACCCUGCAUCCGUGGCUUCGCCUCCUCUGCUCGUUGCCUGCAUGCCCGACGCCGCGCCUCCUCCUGGCGCCGGCCCCGUCGCCAAGUCCCGUCGCCGGAGCUCGCCUUCGUCCGGACACCGGCCAGCUCAGGCCCAUUGUCGUGCGCCGCUUGAUCCGCCCUCCCGCGACUCGGAUACACAGCUGCCGCUCAUCCUUGGCGCCAUGGCCCGUGCCUCUUUUGGACAACCCGUUGCUGACAUGCACAACUUCUGUCGUGCCCUGUUGUGCGUGCUCUCUGCUGCCUGGCACCGUUGACGUCAAGACCGUGGUUGCCAAGUUCCUCUUCCAGAGUCAUCAAAAUGCAUGAGGAUCUCGAUGUACGACUACACAAUGACACGCCAAGUUCCCCUCCGACCGUGUACAGCUGCUCAUGCUGAAGACUGUGUGUACCACUACUGUUGCCAGGUGUGAGAUUGCUGAGUCCUCGUGACUCCCAGUUACUUCAAAACAUUUGGAGGUGCCGAUGAUACCAGUGCAGGUGACGCAACUGAGCUCAACUGGGAGCUCGAUGAAGAUCUUGAUCGUUGUUUUGUGACUUUUCCGGAUGAUCAGUAGUGGGGACCAGUUGGGACGAUCGGAGAUCUAGCAUUUGGGGUUGUCUUCUUUUAUUUUGGUUUCGUAGUCGGACCUUGAUUGCACUCUCGAUGACGUAUGUUUAACUUGUUAGUUGUGUGAAGUAGCCAUUAUAAGCCAAAUCUUUAUCCCUUUAUUAUUCAGUACAUGGGAUUGUGUGAA